rnacentral:rRNA from 1 species
GACGAACGCUGGCGGCGUGCUUAACACAUGCAAGUCGUACGGUAAGGCCCUUUCGGGGGUACACGAGUGGCGCACGGGUGCGUAACACGUGAGUAACCUGCCCACAACUUUGGGAUAACGCUAGGAAACUGGUGCUAAUACUGGAUAUGUGCUCCUGCUGCAUGGUGGGGGUUGGAAAGCUCCGGCGGUUGUGGAUGGACUCGCGGCCUAUCAGCUUGUUGGGGGGGUAGUGGCCUACCAAGGCGGCGACGGGUAGCCGGCCUGAGAGGGUGACCGGCCACAUUGGGACUGAGAUACGGCCCAGACUCCUACGGGAGGAAGCAGUGGGGAAGAUUGCACAAUGGGCGCAAGCCUGAUGCAGCAACGCCGCGGGCGGGAUGACGGCCUUCGGGUUGUAAACCGCUUUCAGCAGGGACGAAGCUUUUUGUGACGGUACCUGCAGAAGAAGCACCGGCUAACUACGUG